rnacentral:lncRNA from 1 species
UGGGUUAUCUCCUUUCAUUGGGUAGCCGGCAUGCUUCAUUUUGGCUCAUGGCACACAGUGGGACAAUCCGCUUGGGAUGACCCAUGCAGUAGGAUGACCCAUCUGGGAUGACCCCUGAGACCUUGAGACCAAAACAGAAAGCUGAACUUUCUGUCUGGUCAAAUGAGGCAUCCUAUGGGACUUUUCAGUCACAGUGAGACGACCCACUUGGGAUGACCCAUUCUGGGUAAGUUCGU